rnacentral:rRNA from 1 species
UACGGGGGGAGCAAGCGUUGUUCGGAAUCACUGGGCGUAAAGGGCGUGUAGGCGGUUCGGUAAGUGGGAUGUGAAAUCCCCGGGCUCACCCCGGGACCUGCAUCCCAAACUGCUGAGCUUGAGUACAGGAGAGGGUGGGGGAAUUCCAGGUGUAGCGGUGAAAUGCGUAGAUAUCUGGAGGAACACCGGUGGCGAAGGCGCCCACCUGGCCUGCUACUGACGCUGAGGCGCGAAAGCUAGGGGAGCAAACGGG